rnacentral:rRNA from 1 species
GACGAACGCUGGCGGCGUGCUUAACACAUGCAAGUCGAACGGAAAGGCCCUGCUUGCAGGGUGCUCGAGUGGCGAACGGGUGAGUAACACGUGGGUGAUCUGCCCCUUACUUUGGGAUAAGCCUGGGAAACUGGGUCUAAUACUGGAUAGGACCAUGCUGUAGGUGGUGUGGUGGAAAGAUUAGUUUCGGUAAGGGAUGAGCUCGCGGCCUAUCAGCUUGUUGGUGGGGUAAUGGCCUACCAAGGCGUCGACGGGUAGCCUGCCUGAGAGGGUGGACGGCCACAUUGGGACUGAGAUACGGCCCAGACUCCUACGGGAGGCAGCAGUGGGGAAUAUUGCACAAUGGGCGCAAGCCUGAUGCAGCGACGCCGCGUGGGGGAUGACGGCCUUCGGGUUGUAAACUCCUUUCAGCCAUGACGAAGCCCUUGUGGUGACGGUAGUGGUAGAAGAAGCACCGGCUAACUACGUG